ACUGGUGUGUUUUCAAUGAUAACUGAACACACUGGAUUCAUUUCUCUGAAAGUGGAUUUUGUGGUCUGUCCGGGGAAUGGAUCCAGCGUGAUCGGUUGGAUGAGACGCGCCUGAAGGAU
rnacentral:precursor_RNA from 8 species